rnacentral:rRNA from 1 species
UGACCCUACGGGAGGCAGCAGUGGGGGAUAUUGCACAAUGGAGGAAACUCUGAUGCAGCAACGCCGCGUGAAGGAAGAAGGCUUUCGGGUUGUAAACUUCUUUUCUGAGGGACGAAGAAAGUGACGGUACCUCAGGAAUAAGCCACGGCUAACUACGUGCCAGCAGCCGCGGUAAUACGUAGGUGGCAAGCGUUGUCCGGAUUUACUGGGUGUAAAGGGCGUGCAGCCGGGCUGACAAGUCAGAUGUGAAAUCCCGCGGCUCAACCGCGGAACUGCAUUUGAAACUGUCAGUCUUGAGUACCGGG